CACACAGUCAGCACCUACUUAGGUCUGGGGAGUGCCCUCUUCCAUCUCAACGCCUCUGCCAAGUGUUGUUACCGCUCUGAGCACCCCUGUGUCCUUGAAAGUCUGGAAGGAAAGCUUCCCGGAGGAGGUGUCCUAAGGCAGCUGGGCACACGACUGGUUGUAGGAGGCAAGAACAGAAGGCUGCCGGGCGGGAGUGGUGCACACAUUCAAUCUCAGCACUUGGGAGGCAGAGCAGACAGAUCUCUGAGUUUGAGGCCAUCCUGGUCUACAGAGCAAGUUCCAGGUAGCCAGGGCUACGCAAUGAGAGCCUGUCUCAAAACUCAAACCGCACGCUUCCUCUUCUCCCUGAGGUCCUAAUGGGUGAUAUUUCUAUUGAGCCUCCAGGGUCCAAGCUGGGUGUUGCCUCUGCUCCACAAGGGAAGACAAAGACCCUAGGACUGUACCCACAAUCCCAUCCAAAUAUAGAAAGAGGAUGAGAACCCAGGCCUUCUACUUCCAGCCUUCUACCUCCUAGCGGCCUCUCGACACAUCGUAUGACCUCCCCAGAGUAUCCAGCCUCCGCUCUAUUGAUCCAGCUCCAGAUUUCAAACAGAUAAGGAAAUGGUUGGGAAACUCCACAGGUAGGAUUGAGGGACAGAGGAGUCAGGCUUUCAAGAACCCACAUCUGUUCAGAGCCUAUGGGCUCUGUGGGACAGAUGUUGGACUUCCAUUCUUGCCCCAUGGUGCCCACAGCAGCUUGCUCAGAGCAUAGUCAGUAGAAGCCAAUGCCACCCAUCUUGCAUGUCAGAGUUUAGGAUGAGGGUCAAAGGUCCUCUGUGAAUUUCCCAACACAAAGGAAAUUUGAAAACAGGGCUAUUUGGAUAGCUGAGGGCCAAAGAUCGGUUGAUUCUCG
rnacentral:lncRNA from 1 species